rnacentral:rRNA from 1 species
UACGUAGGGUGCGAGCGUUGUCCGGAAUUAUUGGGCGUAAAGGGCUCGUAGGCGGUCUGUCGCGUCGGGAGUGAAAACUCAGGGCUUAACCCUGAGCCUGCUUCCGAUACGGGCAGACUAGAGGUAUGCAGGGGAGAACGGAAUUCCUGGUGUAGCGGUGAAAUGCGCAGAUAUCAGGAGGAACACUGGUGGCGAAGGCGGUUCUCUGGGCAUUACCUGACGCUGAGGAGCGAAAGUGUGGGGAGCGAACAGG